CCUACGGGAGACAGCAGUGAGGAAUAUUGGUCAAUGGGCGCAAGCCUGAACCAGCCAAGUCGCGUGAGGGAUGACGGUCCUAUGGAUUGUAAACCUCUUUAGGCGGGGAGCAAUGCCGGGCACGUGUGCCCGGAGGGAGAGUACCCGCAGAAUAAGCAUCGGCUAACUCCGUGCCAGCAGCCGCGGUAAUACGGAGGAUGCGAGCGUUAUCCGGAUUUAUUGGGUUUAAAGGGUGCGUAGGCGGAUUUUUAAGUCAGCGGUAAAAUGUCCGGGCUCAACCCGGGCCGGCCGUUGAAACUGGGGAUCUUGAGUGGGCGAGAAGUAUGCGGAAUGCGUGGUGUAGCGGUGAAAUGCUUAGAUAUUGCGCAGAACUCCGAUUGCGAAGGCAGCAUACCGGCGGCGAUCUGACGCUGAGGCACGAAAGCGUGGGUAUCGAACAGGAUUAGAUACCCUUGUAGUC
rnacentral:rRNA from 1 species